AAGACUAUAACUUAAGGGUAAAGUACACUCUUGAUAAGGGUGGGAUUUGAGUUCGAUUCUCAAUAGUCUUA